GUUUCCAUCUCUCUCUCUCUCUCUCUCUCUCUCUCUCUGCCCACGAGAAAACGUGUCCUCAUCUCUGAUCACAUUGUCUCACUGCUUCCAGUUACAUCUCUACCAAGGGAACAAAGGGAACAAGUCCAGCAUGACACCAGCAACACUCCUGAAGAUCAUAUUGAAUAUGCCUCCGUGAAAUGGGUGGAAAGCGCCAGGCAUCCACCACCCCAGGGAGAAGAGACGCUGACAUCUGCAGCAAUCACUCUGCAGCGGAGCAGGUGUCAUUAAUGCUCCAGUUGCAACUGUA